rnacentral:tRNA from 1 species
GAGAGGUGUUCAGAACAU